rnacentral:rRNA from 1 species
CCGGCGCACGGUGAGUAACGCGUAUGCAACUUACCUAUCAGGAGGGGAUAACCGGCGAAAGUCGGACUAAUACCGCAUGAAGCAGGGGCCCCGCAUGGGGAUAUUUGCUAAAGAUUCAUCGCUGAUAGAUAGGCAUGCGUUCCAUUAGGCAGUUGGCGGGGUAACGGCCCACCAAACCGACGAUGGAUAGGGGUUCUGAGAGGAAGGUCCCCCACAUUGGUACUGAGACACGGACCAA